rnacentral:rRNA from 1 species
ACCUACGGAGGCAGCAGUAGGGAAUUUUCGUCAAUGGGCGCAAGCCUGAACGAGCAAUGCCGCGUGAACGAGGAAGGUCUUCGGAUCGUAAAGUUCUGUUGCAGGGGAAAAAGAGCGGAGAGAGGAAAUGGUCUCCGAUUGAUAUUACCCUUCGAGGAAGUCACGGCUAACUACGUGCCAGCAGCCGCGGUAAUACGUAGGUGGCGAGCGUUAUCCGGAAUGAUUGGGCGUAAAGGGUGCGUAGGCGGCCUGCUAAGUCUGGAGUGAAAGGUACCGGCUCAACCGGUACAGGCUCUGGAAACUGG